ACACUGUAAAUGUUAGUCAUGGAGGAUGUGUACCAACAUGGAAGAGUGUUUACAAUGUAUCUUUAGAGAAAAGAUGGACUAUCCAAGUAUGCAUACUGGAAUUAUCAUUAGAUUACCAUACAUCUGGGUGAGGAGCAGAACAGAGACAUAAGUAACAGCAACCGUGAACCUCAGAGGCAGCCAAGGGCUGGAGUGCAAUGGCACCAUCGCGGCUCACUGCAACCUCCACCUCCUGGGUUCAAGCGAUUCUCCUGCCUCAGCCUCCCGAGUAGCUGGGAUUACAGGUGCCCACCACCACGCCCAGCUAAUUUGUGUAUUUUUAGUAGAGACGGGUUUCACCAUGCUGGCCUCGAACUCCUGACUUCAGGUGAUCCACCUGCCUCGGCCUCCCAAAGUGCCGGGAUUACAGG
rnacentral:lncRNA from 1 species